rnacentral:rRNA from 1 species
GAAUUACUGGGCGUAAAGCGUGCGUAGGUGGUUCGUUAAGUCUGAUGUGAAAGCCCUGGGCUCAACCUGGGAACUGCAUUGGAUACUGGCGAUCUGGAGUGCGGUAGAGGGUAGCGGAAUUCCCGGUGUAGCAGUGAAAUGCGUAGAUAUCGGGAGGAACAUCCGUGGCGAAGGCGGCUACCUGGACCAGCACUGACACUGAGGCACGAAAGCGUGGGGAGCAAACAGGAUUAGAUACCCUGGUAGUC